ensembl:lincRNA
GUGCAGACCUAGGAUGACAAGCCACCUGCCAGUGCUGGAGACCACUGCUGUGCAUGCUGCCGCCUUCUUGUUCAUGUACCUCCCCCUCCCUCAUCCUUCAUGUUUACUUCUUUCACCGAAAUGAAAAUUGGUUGACUACAGAGCAGACACUUCCUAAACCUCUCAAGAAAUCCUGAAGCAAGCCAUGCCUCUUGAAUGAAACAUAGACAGCUGAUUCCUGGCCCGGUGCUGCCUUCUGUCUGCGAUGGAGUUCCUGUGCUGUUUAGAGGAUUGCUUGCCUCUCAGAUGUCACAGUUGGUGAUAUGUAUGUUUACUGAGCAAUUGCUGUAGCCCCACAUUGCCCUUGACUGGAGAUACUGAAUAUACCAGCAAGCAGCACGAGACGUAUACAUUAUUGAAUCCUCAUCUUUGGCGCAUGGAGGGCUGGCUCUUCAACCCUACUGGUUUAGCCCAUGUAACAAAUGACUGAGGUGGAACCCACAGUGAAAAUACAAUGAUCACUCAGUCUAUUUAGUGCAAUGACUGAAGCAGGCUGAGGGAAACUGCUCAGGUCGUUCUGGUGUGGCCCUGCUGCCUUCUGAGGGAGUGGUGAAUUGGCAAUUACUCUGAUAAAUGUGGCUGCUGGAGACCCAUCUCUGUACAUUCAACAAACAUUAAUCAAGAGUCUACAAUGGGCCAGUCCCUACCAAAACCUGAGCCCUUGAGACAGAAAGCUAACAUAACUGUCUUCUGAGAGGCUCCAUCCAGCAGUCAGUGAAAACAGAUACAGAGACCGACACUCAAACAUUAGAUGGAGCUCAAGGAGUCUUAAGGAAGAGUUUGAGGAAGGAUUGAGGGACUUGAAGAGGACACAGACCUCAAAGGAAAACCAACAGAGUCAGCUAACCUGGACACUUGGGGACUCCCAGAGACUGAAUCACAAAACAAAAGUGAGCAUGGGCUGGGCUAGGCUCCUGCACAUAUGAAGCAGAUGAGCAGCUUAGUCUUCAUGCAGGUCCACCAACAACUAAAGUGGGGGCUGUCCCUGAGCCUGUUGUGUGCCUGUGGACUCCAUACCACUAAAUGGGUAGCCUUGUCUGGCUCAGUGAGAGAGGAUGUGACUAGUCCAGCAGCUAUUUGAUGUGCAGGGGGUGGGGGUAGGGGUCGUGAGGGGUUAGAUGUUUGACACCCAGAGGGGGUUUCACAUUCUCUUUUGAAAAGGGGAAGGUGGAAUAGGAGGAGGGCUUUCCUGAGGAGUACUGGGAGGAGAGGAAGGGCUGAUAUUGUGUUGUAAAGUGAAUAAAUAAGUAAAUUAAAAACAAAUAAAACUAACAAAAUUGAGAUCUGUGAUCUAUUUGGAUCUAAGUUUUGUACAGAGUGAUAGAGAUUGGUAUUAUUUUAUUCUUCUGUAUGUGGACAUACAGGUUUUCCAGUGCCAUUUGUUAAAGAUGCUAUCUCUUCUCUCGAGAGGUUUUUCCUCAUUGUCAAAUAUCAGAUGGCUAUAGUUAUGAGAACUCACAUGUGGGUCUUCUAUUAUUCCAUUGUUCUACAUGUAUGGUUUACGCUAGUACCAUAUUGUUUUAUUACUAUGGCAUCUCUAGAACUCUGGGCUAGCAAUUCCGCUAAAAUUAUUCUUUUGGUUCAGGAAUGGCUUGCCUCUCUGGGAUCCUUUCUCAUUUCAUAUGAAUUUUAUUCUGUCAAGAAUGUGGAUAUUUUAAUUAGUGUUUCAUUGAAUCUGUACAUUUCUUUUAGCUUGUAAAAGAAGCUUGUACUUGUAGCUUGGCUAUUUUCACAACUAAUUCUACUGACCCAUGAACACAGAAUGGCUUUGUAUUUUCUAGUUUAUUUCUCAAUCCCUUUCUUCAAAGAUUUGUAAUUUGCAUUGUAGAGGUUUUUCACCUCCUCAGUUAGUUUUAUUCCAAGAUAUUUUAUUGUCAUUGAUGCUAUUGAAAAUAAAAGUGCAUCUUCAAUGUGUUUGUUAUUGAUAUAUAGAAAGGCUGCUGAUUCUUACAAGAUAGAAAGAUAGAUAGAUAGAUAGAUAGAUAGAUAGAUAGAUAGAUAGAUAGAUAGAUUUUUUUUUCAAGACAGGGUUUCUCUAUGUAGCCAUGGCUGUCCUGGAACUCACUCUGUAGACCAGGCUGGCCUUGAACUCAGAAAUCUGCCUGCCUUGCCUCCCAAGUGCUGGGAUAAAAGGUAUGUGCCACUACUGCCUGGCAUUAUGUAAGUAUUAUUACAAGUACUCUGCAAUUUUGCUGAAAUUGUUGUUUCUAGAAGUUUUAUUCUUUUUUAAAAAUUAGGUAUCUUCCUCAUUUGCAUUUCCAAUGCUAUCCCAAAAGUCCCCUAUACCCUACCCCCCACCCCCCUACCCACCCACUUCCACUUUUUGGCCCUGGCAUUCCCCUGUACUGGAGCAUAUAAAGUUUGCAAGUCCAAUGGGCCUCUCUUUCCAGUGAUGGNNNNNNNNNNNNNNNNNNNNNNNNNNNNNNNNNNNNNNNNNNNNNNNNNNNNGGGGCAAAGUGUCCACACUUUGGUCUUCGUUCUUCUUGAGUUUCAUGUGUUUUGCAAAUUGUAGCUUAUAUUUAUUCUUAAGGACUAUAUAUAAGAAUUUAGGUGGGGGUGUGGUAAGAAAGUAGCUUAGUGAGAGAUCUCUACUCUUUUGAGGUUCAAGUUCAAAAACCAAAAAGGAAAAACAAAUCCCUUUGAUUUUCAUCUUUAAAUUUUGGUAUCAAUCAAUCUAGUAUAAAUUUGUCUAUCACAAAAAUGGCUUGAAGCAUUCAUUGUCAAUCAAUUGGCUCUGGAAUUGUGUUUUUGUCUUGAGUUAUAUUUCCCACUUACUAUGGAUAUUAAACAUCUCUGUAUACUAUUAUUAGCUAGUUGUAUUUUGCAUCUGAUCCCCACUCAGUCUUCUGAAGUCCACUUUUUAUUUGAGUGCUAAUCUGUUCAUUAUGCAUCUAAAUGAACUUUCUGAAUAUUAUUGAUUCUAGGCAUUUGCCCACCAGUCAUUUUACAGAUGCAUUCUUCCAGUUAGCAAUUUGUUGUUCUGUGUCCUUUAAUGUGAGUUGAUGACUAAAAAUAUCUUUCUUGUCAAAAUUUCUAUAAGUAGUAUACAGAAAAGAUCAAAAAUAAAAAUAUUAAAUAUCUCACAUGAAAUAUUUAUGUGUAGUUUACUUAGAAAAUGUGAGAACAUAUAUAUCUUUGUGUUUAAUUAGAAUACUACAUCAAUAUUUUAAAGCUACUAUACAAAUAUUAUAAACAUUAAGUACCUUUGUGCAUUUGUAUAGUUAAUGCUAUNNNNNNNNNNNCUAGGCCAUCUUUUGAUACAUNNNNNNNNNNNNNNNNNNNNNNNNNNNNNNNNNNNNNNNNNNNNNNNUUUAUUACCAUAUAUAGUGGGGUCACAUGACAUAUUUUAAAAUCUAAAACAUGUAAAUUUUGUUAAUUUAUUAAAAUGCAUAGCUACAGAAAGAUUUUGAAUAUAACACAGUCAUUGCUAUUCAUUAGAAUUUACUAUCCCUGAAUC